CAUCCUGUGAUUGUCUAGUACUACUAGACCAAGACACUUCCUUCCUGUGCUUUCUCUCUCUCUCUCUCUUGCACCAUCACUACAAGUGAUGGUACAAUCAGUUUCUCCCAAUAUAUAAGCCCGACCUCUGCCUGUUCCCAGCAGAAUCGUUACUGGCAGCUGUAAACCCCAGGUAAUAAUAAACGCAGUUACAAGUUUUCCUUUUUCUCAUGUUUUGUAUCAUCACAAUUGAAGUUGAUAUAAAAAAACGAGAAAAGAUGAAAUGUAAAUGUUGCGUAGAACCUUGCUUGUACACGCAUUUUGAUGUCGUGAUGAAGCAAUACCGAUACGAGUCUGCCGGAAGUGGCUACAUGGAUUUUCUGUAUGGCAAUGAAGCGAUGGAAUUGGACGGAGACUUUGAAACGCAUAUUGAAAUGAUCACUUCGAUCCAGCCGCAAUAAAAAAGAGGACACGAUUCGUGUGGAAACAUCACCUUCAAAGCAGGACGAGAAAGUAGAUCUCGCUUUCGUACUCAAGAUCACAAGAUGAAACCGGUCUUGGCUCUGCUUGUUGUCGGCAUUUAAACAUUCUUGUUACAAGAAAUUUAAAAACUGGAGAAAGCUACCAUUUCGUGCAUUACUUCCAUUUAAUUUUUUGGGCACUAAGAAAUAGGAUACUUACAGUACCUACACAAAGUUUGGAAACACGGCGAGUGUUUCCGCGCUUCUAACACGGCGGCUUAAGGCCAAAGUGUCUCCCUUUUUUACGCGAUAACUCACGUUUGAGUUAUCGCAAAGCAAAUUAAAAAAAAUCUUCUUGGUGAGGAAAGAAUUUCCUUUCACCAUGAUUUUUUGUAGAUUUUAGUGAAUUGAAGUUUAUACCCCAAAAGACUAGAUAUAAAGUUUGGAAACAUCGGCGCGCUCGCCAUAUGUUUCCAAGCUAAAGUGUAUGCUACUUUAAAAAUUAUAAAAAAUUGAAAUUAAUCAAUUAUGACUUGAAACUUGCACCAACGGUAGACGACAUAGUCGUCUUCAUUUGG